CGGACGGGUGAGUAACACGUGGACAACCUACCUAUAAGACUGGGAUAACUUCGGGAAACCGGAGCUAAUACCGGAUAAUAUAUUGAACCGCAUGGUUCAAUAGUGAAAGACGGUUUUGCUGUCACUUAUAGAUGGAUCCGCGCCGCAUUAGCUAGUUGGUAAGGUAACGGCUUACCAAGGCAACGAUGCGUAGCCGACCUGAGAGGGUGAUCGGCCACACUGGAACUGAGACACGGUCCAG
rnacentral:rRNA from 1 species